rnacentral:lncRNA from 1 species
UUGGUGCUCUACAAAAGCAAUGGCUAAGAAUUCAAUGGCCAAAAUUGUGGGAAGAGUACCCCAUGGGACGGGUUGGCCCAAAUAUGUAGCUUGCCCUCCGGGAAUGGCAGCCCAUUCUUGGGCCUUUACCCAGUUGCCCAGGCCCAAUGCUUCUGGUACUAGGAUUCCAGGCUGCAAAAACAAUUGAUGAAAUAUUAUAUAUGUUAGAAAUUCACUUGUUCAUUAAAAGAAUCCGAAAACUUUAAAAGGAGUUUGUAAUUUCUUCCCAAACAUUUCAAAUGUUGAACUUGGAAUAUUUCUAGUUUUUUUUUUUUUAAAUCUAAUAAGCAUUUUAUUCAGCUUUCCGAACAGAGUACAUUGAGAUGAGGGAGUACACAAAAAGUCUAAUAUUUCUAGUUAGUGAUCAUAUUAUUUUACUAUAACUCAAUCACAAUAAAAAAAGAUUUGCUCUAGAAAAAAAUGAGUAAUACUGAGCUCCGUUCGAUUACUAUGUUAAUGACCUUAGGGACUUGACCAGGUUAAUUUCGAUUCAUCAUCAAAUAUUAAAUUAUAAUUCUUUAAAUAUCAAAUUAAUUACCUCUAAGUACACAUGGCAACGUACUACUUUAUUCUAACUGUAACUUUCCUUUCCCAUUUCCCCUACUUUAAUAACAAGAGUCUGUAUGCCUUGGCUAAGAUUAUUUGUACUAAUUAUAUUGUUAAAAGUCUCAUGUUUAGAAACAAAAUUUUUACUUAAAAAUAAAACAAGUAAAUAGGAGCUUAGCUUACCACAGCAAGCAUAGCCCAUCUGCAGUGAAUGAGUUCAGACUCCUUGUAUCUCUCCAAGUUCGCUGGUACUUCUCCUAGACCAAGUGGAUCGAAUCCAAAAUCUCUGUAUUCACAAAUCACCCUCCAUUAUACAAUUAUUCUGAAGUUAAAUUUAAAAAACAUAUUUGACCGUUCAGCCAAAAAUAGUUAAAGUCCCUAGCCGAAUAUACAAAAAAAUAUACACUAAUUAUGUAUAAAAUGUGUAUACUAUAUAUAAUAUAUGAAAAAUAUAUAUUUUCCACGACAACUAAAAUGGAUUGUAGGGAGUAAAUUAUUACCCGGGGGCAGAGCCGUCAAGAUAAGGAGGGCGGGGCUGGCCCGGCAUCCACUCGGCAGACAUGCUGAACCGGGAGUUGGCAUUGGCUGCUCCUAAAC